AGGACUGGAGCAGUUUCCAAGGGCUCUGGGUUUCUCUCUUCCGUGGGCACUGAAUGCUCCAGAAAGACUGUUGAAAGAGCCCCAGCCAUUCAGGUCGCUGUUUCUUCACCCGGGAGUCCAUUGGCCAGAUCCUCCCCCAGGUCCGGGCAGCGCAGCUCUGCCGAGCCCGUCACUGCUCCAGAACACACGCUGGUGCUCCCUCCAGGAGAAGGGAAGAUUCACAUGAGCUGGAGAAGGGACUCAGACUUGCAGGAUGAGGGUACCAGCUUACAUCUGCAGCCAUCCAGCCGAGAAGUGUGUAAGGGGAGGAAGAGCUGGGCAGCAAGAGCCAAGCAGGUGCCAGUUCCUGCUGCAGUCCCAGCUCCCAAGGAGAAAGAGGAUGCUGUACCCCUCAAAAGAAAAGAUACUUAAAGAUUUCCCAUGUGCUGCAAGCCACAGGGUAAGGAGUGGAAAGUGAAAAGCAGUGUUUGGCUCUUUCCCACAGCCCAAAGACAAUGUCCAUGGGACAAAGAUCAAGUCCAACUGCCUCCUGUCAGCAGCACUCUGGUCCCCAGCAGGACCCCAGAACUGUUUCAAACCUGGAGUCCAGAAGCUCAGUCACUGGUUCCCCUGAAGAGAUGUGAACAACCUGAACAAGAACAUGAUCCUUCAGCUUAAAGCCAGCUAUCUAACCAGCUCAACUGACCUUACAAGGACACCACCUGUGAGCAGACUCCCCCUCAGAAAACCUUCUGGAGUGAGAGGAACACUGCACACCUCAAGCCCUACAACAGCAGCACUGACUCCAGGCUCAGUUUUUGUGCUACCCAUCUACUGCCCCAGGAACUCGCCGUCUUCCCACCACAAUUUGGCACAGAUUGAACCAGUUUGCAUCUUCCCCUCUGUCAGAACUCAGGGUUUUGAAGAUGAUUAUUCCAAAUCAGUGUAAAGGUUUCAGAAAAGGAACCAGAGCGAUCUCUCCUACUCAGCCGUUCAAGCCUGCCUUGAUUACUUUGAUGUAACAACACUUGAAAGCUCCUAUUCUUUGAAACUAAUUUAAACACAUUGAAUUGUUGAAAGAUUAAAAACCGCAGUCAGCUAAUUACACUCACUCUCAUCUCUUAUUCAGCAAAUGAAUCACUUUUCAUUACCACUUAGCUGAAGUACAUGAAUUUCUGCCUAAUUAGAAAUGUUGUAGAUGGAGCAUUAGCAAGGCUGGAGCGGGUCAGGAUAUCUUGCCUGCUUCAUUUUUAAUUCCUAACAGUAGAGCCAGAUAGGAAAGGCUUCAGAUAAGAAGUCAUUAAACAAUUUUAAAUUAUUUAUAAAAAUUACUUUGCCCAAAUUAUAAUUAUUUUUUUUCCCAAAUGCUCUCAUAAACGUCAAAUGGAAUGAAAGGAAAAGCAGCCCAACAUUGAUUUUAACGAACAUUUUAAUGUUAUGUAUAACAGAACAUUAUGAAUACAAUGGAAACAAAGUUUUAUCAAUGUAAUAAUAAAAAAGAAAUCCAACAUAAGAAAAGGGAGGCAAUAAAUUUCAUACCUAUAGUAUAGUGCUUAUUCUUAACAAUAUUCUCAGAUUGUGAAUAUAACAGUAUCUUUGUAUUCCAGAUUCUACAAUCAUGAUUCAUGUGAACUUAAAUGCAGAAUUACAGAAGGAAAAGCAAAAAUUCCCAAAAUCUUAAUUCAUUCUUUUGUUUUCAGUAAAUCAGUAAAAUCUU